rnacentral:rRNA from 1 species
AGUGGCGCACGGGUGAGUAACACGUAGGUAAUCUACCUUUGGAUGGGGAAUAACAACCGGAAACGGUUGCUAAUACCGCAUAAUGCAGCGGCACCUAAUGGUGACAGUUGUUAAAGCGGGGGAUCGUAAGACCUCGCGUCUGAAGAGGAGCCUGCGGCAGAUUAGCUAGUUGGUAGGGUAACGGCUUACCAAGGCGAUGAUCUGUAGCCGGCCUGAGAGGGCGGUCGGCCACACUGACACUGACAUACGGGUCAGACUCCUACGGGAGGCAGCAGUCGGGAAUUUUGGGCAAUGGGCGAAAGCCUGACCCAGCAACGCCGCGUGAAGGAUGAAAUCCCUCGGGAUGUAAACUUCGCAAGAACGGGAAGAAUAAGUAAGGGUUAAUAUCUCUUACGAUGACGGUACUGUUUGUAAGCUCCGGCUAACUCCGUGCCAGCAGCCGCGGUAAUACGGGGGGAGCAAGCGUUGUUCGGAUUUACUGGGCGUAAAGGGCGCGUAGGCGGCCUCUGCAAGUCGACUGUGAAAUCUCCGGGCUUAACCCGGAAAGGUCAGCCGAUACUGCAGGGCUAGAGUGCAGAAGGGGCAACUGGAAUUCUCGGUGUAGCGGUGAAAUGCGUAGAUAUCGAGAGGAACACCUGCGGCGAAGGCGGGUUGCUGGGCUGACACUGACGCUGAGGCGCGAAAGCUAGGGGAGCGAACGGGAUUAGAUACCCCGGUAGUCCUAGCCUU